rnacentral:rRNA from 1 species
GUCUACAGUCAUGCCACCUUGAGUGUGCUGGAUCUCAUCUGAUCUUGGAAGCUAAGCAGGGUUGGAUCUGAUUCUUAGUUGGAUGGGAGAGUUGGUCUUGGUUUUCAGCAGUAGCUAGAUCAGUGUUGGUG